CUAUCUGCUUGCAGUCUGGCAACGCCACGAAAGUCGAGUUGGCAUUUGAUUUGAUUGCUGCGUUCGGAUCGAAAAAAUUCCAUAUUUCAUUGUUUAACUCCCAAGAACGUCAGCAAACAAGUAACUUGUAUAAUAUUUUAAGUUAAAUACUGCCGAACACAGUGCCGUACCAAGUGCGUGUAAAUAAACAAGCGAUUUGUGUAAGUCAGUGUGCAGCGUAAGCUAAUUAGAAGAGAAAAAGGAAAGAUCCAACAUGUUGCACAACAAUGCGCCCUGGCUGCCACCGCAUCAGCAGCAGCAGCAGCAACAGGCGCCGCAGCAACAUCCUACUCCCCAGCAGCAACAUGCAAUGCCCCAACAGCAGCAAACUCAUCCUGCCCAGCAACCGCAGCAGCUCUAUGCCAGCCAAAUGUUCCAGCAACAGCAGCCAAAUUAUUGGCCAGAGGAUCAGCACCAACAGCACCAACAGCAGCAACAGCAGCCGCAACAAUCUCUGAACUACAAUAACUACUUUGCGGGACAGCAGCAGCAGCAGCAACAUCCUUUGCAGCAGCAGCAACUGCCACCGCAGCAGCAACAGCCUACGCAGCAGCAACACGCUAUGCAGCAGCAACUGUAUUAUCCCACUCACCAGCAGCCACAAGUCCCGGCUCCAGCGGAACCAGCUCUGGACUCGUUUGACAACAAUAAUAGCGGAGGAGGAGGUGGUGGCGGCCGGAGCGAUGGCUGGGGUGAUUGGGGCGAUUGGAACGACAAUAGCAACAACAAUAUUAGCAACGGCACCGAAAGCCUGUUAGAGCCAACUGGACAACUGCUGGAGGAUUCCUUCAAUGUGCAAUCUUCGCAAGGCAGUUGGCAGGCGUUUGCCACCAGCAAUAAUGUCAAUAACAAUGGCGAGCUGCCCUCAGCAGCGGAUCCGCAGGCAGCGCCCUUGCAACAACAGUCAUUCAAUGAGCAAUCGACACCUUUGUUGCACCAGCAGCCACAAUCGCCGCCGGAACUGGGGCAGGAACCCGAACUGGAUGCCAUUGUGCCUCCCCAGGCUUUCCAAAACCAGCCACCAACCGUAGCACCACCACCAACAUCACUGACUGCGUUCUCCGCACCAAUGACUGCUGUGGGAUCGCCAAUGUAUGCUUCUGCACAUAGCGCUGGAGUAGGAGCUUCGCCAGCACCUCCCACUGCAGUGGGAGCUCCGCCAGCACAUCUUACUGGAGUAGGAGCGCCACCAGCACAUCUUGCAGGACUAGGAGCUUCGCCAGCACCUCCCACUGGAGUGGUGGUUCCGCCAGCACAUCUUGCAGGAGUAGAAGCUUCCCCAGCACCUCUCGCUGGCGUGGGAGCUCCACCAGCACCCCUCAUUGGAGUAGGAGCUCCACCAGUGGGAGCACCGCCAGUGGACGCUACAACUAUUGCACCACCGGCCGCACUGCCACCUAGCUUGGCUCCAUCGUCUGGCAAUCCCUUCAAGCGCUCCACGGGUCUAAAUAAGCGAGUUAACAUUAUGGCCGAUCCUGCGGCAGGCGCUCCAUCGCCCCAGGCACCUGCUGCAAUGGCUCCAGUGGCACCAAUAGCAGCAAUUCCGCCACCAGCUGAGCAGCUCUUUGGUCUGCCAGCAGAGGCUCAUGGAGAUAGUUUCAACUUAAUGGCGGCGCCACCUGUUGAGGCUUCACUUGUAGCUCCACUAAGUGCAGCUAUUCCUGCACCCAUUCCUGUACCUACCGCAUCGCUGUAUGCCCCACCGGCUGUUCCACAGGCAUUUACGCCCUUGGAGCCGGACAACCAGGAGGUUUUGUCCGCGCCAAAUGACGAGCGGGCCCAGUACUUGCAGACCAGUCACCUGUCCGAGCAACUGGGCGAAGGCGAAGCUGAUCAGGAUGCAGGCCUGCUGCCACCACCGGGACUGUCUCGUUUGGUUUUGGGCCAACCGGAAUUGGAUUCGCAGCAGCAGCGCCAGGUCACGGGAGCCACAGAGCAGCCACCACUUAAUGUGGCCCAGGCAGCAGCUCUACACAUGCAAGAGCGUCGUGCAGAUGGCGAGGACACCUCUGACGGCGAGCAACAAGUACGUAAUAUACAGACGCCACCACGUCGCGUCGUAACUGGCGUGGAGACCAACGCCCCAUCGUUGAGAGAACAGCGGGAAGUGGUGCUGGAUGGCGAGAAUCUGGAGGAUCGCGAAGCUAUACCGCCACCAACUUUGGCUGAACAGCCAACCACUUCAGUACAUCACAAUAUUCUACCCGAUGAGCCGGAGCAGCUGCAUCACAGCAAUCCGCCCCAGGCGAUGACUCCGCUUAAUCCGCAGCAACCACAUCAGCAGCAGCCACUGCUGCAGCAGCAGCACCAGCAACAUGCAACCCCUCAGCAGGAGAAGAAACGUACGGCGGUCGGACGCCGAACCACAGCCUCGCUGGAUCUGGAGUCCGAUGAGUCUGACGAGUUUCUGCAGAGCGAAAGGGAACGCGAUCGGGAGCGUGAGCGCAGAGACCUAAUGGAGGAGAGGCAAGGUCGUGGUCGCAGCCAUGGUCAUUACCCCUACGAAGGCGAAACGGAGGACUCUGUGCGUGGUGCUACCCACCACGAGACGAAAUCCCUAAGGGAAACACAUCACAAACGUAACCACGAAUCGACGCGCUCUCGCCGCCAUCAGGAUUCCAAGGUGGAACGCGAAAGGGAACGGGAUAGGGAGCGUGAUCGCACAUGGCGCCGACGAUCCAACAAGUAUCACAGUGGUGGCGAGGAUCCCGAUCGUUCGUACGAUCAUUCGCGUCGUUACAACAACAGCAAUUACGAUGGUGAGUCCGAUAAUCCGGAGUAUAGUCACCUGGGCGAUGCCGAGCUGGACGGCAGCGGUGGUCGGAGCAGUAAAACCAGUCGCCAUCGACGCAGUGCCGCCGAGGAGGAUUUCGAUGAUUACGAACGGGAUCGCAAUCGAUCCCGUCGCUCAACCAAACCACAAUCGUCCGCUGAAAAGUCACGCUCCUCUGGCGGACGACGGAAUUACGAGAAUACGGGUCGUGGUGCCCGUACCGAUGAUGGUCGCCGACGUUAUCAGGACCAGCGUAAUCCUGGUGCUCAGUAUCCCGUAUCAGCCACUGGCUAUGUUCCCUACGGAAUGUACGAGCAAAUGUCGCGGAAUCCACAAGUCUACGCUGAUAUGUAUGCGAAGUUCUAUGGCCAAAUGAUCAACUCGAUGAACGCUGCUGUUACGGCGGCUGCCUCUAAGGGCGGUGUUCCCGCUGGAGCUGGAGUCAUACCCGGUUUGGUGCCCGGCACGGUGCCCGUGAGUGCCGCCCAGUUGGUGGCCGCCACCAGCGGAGGAAGUGUCAGCGGAAGCAGUGAUGCCGCCAUGCUCAGGGAACGAGAAAGGUAUACACACGCAUACAUAACCCAAGCCAAUGAAUUCCAUCGUCACCAAUACAAAGAGCUGAUCUACCAGCAACAACAACAACAACUGCAGCAGCAGCAACAACAACAACAGCAGAGGGAGGAUCAACUGAACUCCAGCUUUAGCGUUGCCGAGGAUAAUGCCAGUUAUUACGGAUCCCGCGGAGGUUCCAUCUAUAACCAAUACCAAUCAUAUCCACUCUCCAGUGCCCGAUCGCUGAGUAACUUGAACGGCGAUGGACGCAACUCCCGAUGCGGACCGCAUUACGCUGGUUCCGAAUGCGGUCUCGAUAUCAGAGCUGCUGCCGAGGCGGCACCUUCGACUUAUGGAGGCGUGGCUGGAACCGCUGGAACGGUGACCACUAACGCGGUGGCUCGUCCGCCGCGCAGACGCACUCCCUUGCAGUUCAAUCGACCGCAUUUGGUGGCCUCGUAUGCGAUGAGUCUGCUGCUGAAGGUGAAGCCCAAGUACGCGGGACGCGGACGACUGCGCAACGAUGUGGAGGUGGCGCCACCGCGCAUACGGGACGGAACGAGCAGCCUGCUGCGCAUGUAUCCGGGUCCGUUGCAGGGUCGCAAGUUGCACAAGGACAAGAUCAUCAGCUUCUGCAAGGAGCAGAUCCGACUGGGACCCACAAAGGGUUGCACCGCACUCUAUGCCACGCAGAAGAAGCCCCAAGGCAGUGUGGCUAAAUACCGUGCCUCCCAUGCGCUCAUGUGGCAUCUGCUUAUACUGUUGCUGCGCCAAAAUGGGUACAUUGCGGACACGGAUGUGGGCGAUCUGCUGCUGGAGAACCAGCAAGAGUAUCCAUACGAUCCCAGCGAGUUCGAACCAGAGAACGAACCAGACGUGGACGCCGAACAGGAUGUCGCUGCACCAGCGGACAAGGCAGGAGAUUCGGAUUUGGAUAGCGAAUCGGCAGCAGGAGUUACGCCUGCAGAACCACUUGCAGCGGGUGCCGCAACGAGCUCAUCCAAUGGCGCUGAUGCUGCGAACGCAGCGCAGACAGGACAGACGCCUCUGUCGGAACAGGCGGCAACGGACAAGUUCCGCAGCUAUGUGUUGCGCGGAAAUGUCGAGGAGGCUCUCCAGUGGGCCGCCGAUAACAACCUGUGGACGCAUGCAUUCUUUUUGGCCCUCUACGAGGAUCGCUAUGCUCUCACAGAUGUUGCCCAGAAGUUUCUCAAUCGAGCGAUCAAGGCGAACGAUCCAUUGCAGACACUCUACCAAAUGAAGAGCUGCCACACGCCGGCGUGCGUCAGCCAGCUGCGGGAUGAACAGUGGGGCGACUGGCGGUCGCAUCUCUCCAUUCUGGUGACGAACAAGAGUCGCCAGCCGGAGUAUGAUCGCAGUUCGGUAGUGGCCCUCGGCGAUACGCUGUUCCAGCGCGGCGAUAUUUAUGCGGCACACUUUUGCUAUCUGGUGGCUCAGGAGGAGUUCGGGCGAUACGACAGCUCUGCCACCGAGCUCACUACUCUGACCGCCAAUGUGCCCAGGCUUAUCCUGCUGGGCUCCUCGCAUUACAAGCACUUCAAUGAGUUUGCCAGCAACGAGGCCAUCAUCAUGACCGAGAUCUAUGAGUAUGCUCGAUCGCUGUUCGAUCCGAAGUUUAGCAUUGCCCACUUCCAACACUACAAGUUCCUGCUGGCCACAAGGAUCCUUGAUUAUGGCCAGCAUUUCCGCUGCACCAAUUAUUUGGAACAAAUCGCCAGGCACAUCGAACUGAAGCCAGAAAGCUACGACAGUGAUUUCAUUCAGCGGGUUUGUGGUUUGGCCGAACGUCUGCGCUAUCAUGAUCCCAUUCUUAUCAAUCGUGUAUCUUUUGCGAGUCCUCCGAAUGCCACCAGCAAGGAUAGUGCUGCUCCCGAAGAGAAAGCCUGGUUGCGCCAGCUGAGAUCUCUGGCCAAUGUGCAGCCCCAACAGGAGCAACUGCAACAGCUGCAGCAGCAUCAGCAAAUCCAGCAGGAGCAAAACGACAUCGAUCAGCAGUUUGCAGAGGUGAAUAAGCAAUUCAGGGAGCUAAACAUGCAAUACGAGAGCCACAGCAACAUAGAGAAUACGCUGCAAUCGCAAUUGCAACCGGUGGAUCAACAGCCGCCACAGCAGCAGCAGCAGCAAGUUUUAUCGGAAGCGCACCAACAGCCACCGCCACCACAACAAUAUUAUGAGCCACCACCUCAAGCGCCAACUGAAACGGAUCCCUAUGGACAGGGCCAACCAUCCUACUAUGAUCCCAAUGCGGGGCAGCAUCAAUACGAUCCCAAUGCGGGCCAGCUUCAUUACGAUCCAAAUGCUGCACAUCAUCAAUACGACCAGCAAUCUCAAGCGCAACCUACUCCCAGUUAUGGCCAAAUAGAGCCAGGAACUGAGGCCUACCAACCUGGACAGACAACAGCAGAUCCAGCUGCGGCUGCCUCUGGCUACGGAUACGAUUACUGGUCGGGCACACAGCAGCCACCAUAUGGCGAUGAGCCCAAUGAGAAUCAAGCUGCUCUUAAGGAUGAAGAGGAGGUGGAGGAGGAGGAGCAGGAUGAACAGCAGAUAUUGCAGUACGCCAAACAGCAGAUUUUGCAGCAAACCAAGCAGCAACAGCAGCAGCAGUUGCAGCAGGAGCAACAUACUCGCAGCAAUGGCGCUGCCAGCAUCAACAAUCGCUUCAAAUCGAACGCUCUAAAGCAGCAGGAACGGAGCAGCGGUUCAUUGCGGAAAAGGCAAGAGGCGUCACGAACAGGAACAAUAGCAGCGGCAGCAGCAGCUAUUGCCCAGAUAACACCGGCAACAGUUGCCGCCGCAUCGACGACACCAGCAGCAUCGGCAAAGGCAUUCAAUUUGAAUGAUCUGCAGCAGCAGACGCGCCCGGCGAUAUCCAUGCCCAAAUCAAAGAGCUAUGGAGAUGAGGACGAUGGUGGUUCCGGCGGUAUGUCUGAUCCUGGCCAGAAAGCCAAGCUUGGAGGCUCCUCUGAGGCUGCUGGCAAACAGCAGGCGUCGGGCAAACAGGCCAACUCUGGCAGCGAUCUUGGCGCACCUGGAAAUAAGAAUGCGGGCUGGUUCGGCGGACUCUGGAACAAGCUGUCGCUCAAGCCGAAGAACCAAAUGAUCCUGCCGGAUGACAAGAACCCGGCCAUCGUCUGGGACAAGGAGCGCAAAUGCUGGACCAACACCGAGGGCAGCGGCGAGGAGGCGGAGAGCUUUAAGCCGCCACCCAAAAUGAGUGAUCUGGGCAUGGCUCUCGGAGGUCCACCCGCCGCGCCAGUCGCAAACGCCGGACUGGGAAUGGGUCUAAUGCCGAUGGCCAACAAUUCGCUGGGCAGCCAUCAAUCGGCACCGCUGAUGGAUCAGCCACCGCCGUCGCAGCCGCAAAUGUAUGGCAGUCCCAUUGAUUACACGGCUGCUCCGGCACCCGAAUUGAUACCCACGGUGCCAUCGCCGGCGCCGGCGCCACUUUCUGUCCCAUCACCUGCACCGGCGGCAUCAGCGGCGCCCAAUCCCGCGGCCGCUCCCGGCGGACCGCAGCCCAAGCUGCAGUCGAACAUGUUCAAGAUGCAACGCAACCGAACGCUGAAGAACUCCUACGUGGAUGUGUUCAAUCCAUCGGGUGCGCCAAUGUCGGCGGCGCCGGAGAAUGUGCUGGCCCCCAUGAUGGCGCCGGCUGCGGUGCCGCAAGGUGGUUUCUUUGUGCCCCAGUCGUAGGGAAUCUGAGAUGGGACUGGCCGGUACCGAAGCCCCGGGAUCUGGAGCAGCUGGUGUGCGUGGACAGUUGAAGGAGGAGGAGGAUGUGUGAAUGUGUAAAAAGGGCUGCCCCAAAUACCAGCGAGAUCGGCACUUCGAAACUACGUAAAAAAAA
rnacentral:misc_RNA from 1 species